AUACGGAGGGGUGCAAGCGUUGUUCGGAAUUAUUGGGCGUAAAGCGCGUGUAGGCGGUUUGAUAAGUCUGAUGUGAAAGCCCCGGGCUCAACCUGGGAAGUGCAUUGGAAACUGUCAGACUUGAAUACGGGAGAGGGUAGUGGAAUUCCUAGUGUAGGAGUGAAAUCCGUAGAUAUUAGGAGGAACACCGGUGGCGAAGGCGGCUACCUGGACCGAUAUUGACGCUGAGACGCGAAAGCGGUGGGGAGC
rnacentral:rRNA from 1 species